UAAAUAUCACCACGAGACCGAUAGCGAACAAGUACCGUGAGGAAAAGUUGAAAAGAACUUUGAAGAGAGAGUUCAAUAGUACGUGAAACCGUCCCGGGGGAAACCCGAGAAGCCCGAAAGUUCGAUGGGGGAGAUUCAACCGCGUCUCGGAGGACGCGGACAGCGGCCGGCGCGGGCGACGGAAGGUCCCUCGGGACCCGACGCCGCCCGUCGUCCCGUCCAGUUUCCCGAACGCGUGCACUUUCUCCCCCCGUAGGACGUCGCGACCCGUCGGUGGCGGGUCCUGAAGGGCCGCGGUGGAACCCCGGGGGGAACGAAUUUCGGUUCGUUUCUCGUCGGAACCCGCGUGUUCCCGACCCGCCCGCCCCAACGGUAGACUAGAGGCGGGGGGGCCGGCGACCUUUUCAGGUACGCGUC
rnacentral:rRNA from 1 species